rnacentral:rRNA from 1 species
ACUCCUACGGGAGGCAGCAGUGGGGAAUAUUGCACAAUGGGCGCAAGCCUGAUGCAGCCAUGCCGCGUGUAUGAAGAAGGCCUUCGGUUGUAAAGUACUUUCAGCAGUGAGGAAGGUGGGUAUGUUAAUAGCAUACUCAUUUGACGUUAGCUGCAGAAGAAGCACCGGCUAACUCCGUGCCAGCAGCCGCGGUAAUACGGAGGGUGCGAGCGUUAAUCGGAAUUACUGGGCGUAAAGCGCAUGCAGGUGGUUUGUUAAGUCAGAUGUGAAAGCCCGGGGCUCAACCUCGGAAUUGCAUUUGAAACUGGCAAACUAGAGUACUGUAGAGGGGGUAGAAUUUCAGGUGUAGCGGUGAAAUGCGUAGAGAUCUGAAGGAAUACCGGUGGCGAAGGCGGCCCCCUGGACAGAUACUGACACUCAGAUGCGAAAGCGUGGGGAGCAAACAGGAUUAGAUACCCUGGUAGGAUAGCG